rnacentral:rRNA from 2 species
AGUUUAAUCCGCCCAGGGGAACCUGGCCCUUAAUUCGAUGGUCCACGAAACUCUUACCUCUCCUUGUUUCUUCGCGACUGCUAGCCGCGAAGAAGAACAGCUCGCAUACCGCCGUUUUUCAGUUCAUAUUUCAGAUGGGAAAGAAAUGGGCACCGAAGCCAAUUGACCUGAAGGUCGAGACCGCUAACAAUUCAGGUAAACGUGUGGCCAAUGGAGAGGGGAAGCUGGGUUACAAUUGAAACUUGGACUGGACUUGCCACAUGAACGGUGGAAGGAAAGAGGACUUGGAAGUAAUUUCCCCAUACAAAGGGGACAUGAAUGGUGCUCUAAACUGUGU